GGGUUGUGAGGUUAAGCGACUAAGCGUACACGGUGGAUGCCCUGGCAGUCAGAGGCGAUGAAGGACGUGCUAAUCUGCGAUAAGCGUCGGUAAGGUGAUAUGAACCGUUAUAACCGGCGAUUUCCGAAUGGGGAAACCCAGUGUGAUUCGUCACACUAUCAUUAACUGAAUCCAUAGGUUAAUGAGGCGAACCGGGGGAACUGAAACAUCUAAGUACCCCGAGGAAAAGAAAUCAACCGAGAUUCCCCAGUAGCGGCGAGCGAACGGGGAGGAGCCCAGAGCCUGAAUCAGUGUGUGUGUUAGUGGAAGCGUCUGGAAAGGCGCGCGAUACAGGGUGACAGCCCCGUACACAAAAAUGCACAUGCUGUGAGCUCGAUGAGUAGGGCGGGACACGUGGUAUCCUGUCUGAAUAUGGGGGGACCAUCCUCCAAGGCUAAAUACUCCUGACUGACCGAUAGUGAACCAGUACCGUGAGGGAAAGGCGAAAAGAACCCCGGCGAGGGGAGUGAAAAAGAACCUGAAACCGUGUACGUACAAGCAGUGGGAGCACAGAGCAAUCUGUGUGACUGCGUACCUUUUGUAUAAUGGGUCAGCGACUUAUAUUCUGUAGCAAGGUUAACCGAAUAGGGGAGCCGAAGGGAAACCGAGUCUUAACUGGGCGUUAAGUUGCAGGGUAUAGACCCGAAACCCGGUGAUCUAGCCAUGGGCAGGUUGAAGGUUGGGUAACACUAACUGGAGGACCGAACCGACUAAUGUUGAAAAAUUAGCGGAUGACUUGUGGCUGGGGGUGAAAGGCCAAUCAAACCGGGAGAUAGCUGGUUCUCCCCGAAAGCUAUUUAGGUAGCGCCUCGUGAAUUCAUCUCCGGGGGUAGAGCACUGUUUCGGCAAGGGGGUCAUCCCGACUUACCAACCCGAUGCAAACUGCGAAUACCGGAGAAUGUUAUCACGGGAGACACACGGCGGGUGCUAACGUCCGUCGUGAAGAGGGAAACAACCCAGACCGCCAGCUAAGGUCCCAAAGUCAUGGUUAAGUGGGAAACGAUGUGGGAAGGCCCAGACAGCCAGGAUGUUGGCUUAGAAGCAGCCAUCAUUUAAAGAAAGCGUAAUAGCUCACUGGUCGAGUCGGCCUGCGCGGAAGAUGUAACGGGGCUAAACCAUGCACCGAAGCUGCGGCAGCGACGCUUAUGCGUUGUUGGGUAGGGGAGCGUUCUGUAAGCCUGUGAAGGUGUGCUGUGAGGCAUGCUGGAGGUAUCAGAAGUGCGAAUGCUGACAUAAGUAACGAUAAAGCGGGUGAAAAGCCCGCUCGCCGGAAGACCAAGGGUUCCUGUCCAACGUUAAUCGGGGCAGGGUGAGUCGACCCCUAAGGCGAGGCCGAAAGGCGUAGUCGAUGGGAAACAGGUUAAUAUUCCUGUACUUGGUGUUACUGCGAAGGGGGGACGGAGAAGGCUAUGUUGGCCGGGCGACGGUUGUCCCGGUUUAAGCGUGUAGGCUGGUUUUCCAGGCAAAUCCGGAAAAUCAAGGCUGAGGCGUGAUGACGAGGCACUACGGUGCUGAAGCAACAAAUGCCCUGCUUCCAGGAAAAGCCUCUAAGCAUCAGGUAACAUCAAAUCGUACCCCAAACCGACACAGGUGGUCAGGUAGAGAAUACCAAGGCGCUUGAGAGAACUCGGGUGAAGGAACUAGGCAAAAUGGUGCCGUAACUUCGGGAGAAGGCACGCUGAUAUGUAGGUGAAGCGACUUGCUCGUGGAGCUGAAAUCAGUCGAAGAUACCAGCUGGCUGCAACUGUUUAUUAAAAACACAGCACUGUGCAAACACGAAAGUGGACGUAUACGGUGUGACGCCUGCCCGGUGCCGGAAGGUUAAUUGAUGGGGUCAGCGCAAGCGAAGCUCUUGAUCGAAGCCCCGGUAAACGGCGGCCGUAACUAUAACGGUCCUAAGGUAGCGAAAUUCCUUGUCGGGUAAGUUCCGACCUGCACGAAUGGCGUAAUGAUGGCCAGGCUGUCUCCACCCGAGACUCAGUGAAAUUGAACUCGCUGUGAAGAUGCAGUGUACCCGCGGCAAGACGGAAAGACCCCGUGAACCUUUACUAUAGCUUGACACUGAACAUUGAGCCUUGAUGUGUAGGAUAGGUGGGAGGCUUUGAAGUGUGGACGCCAGUCUGCAUGGAGCCGACCUUGAAAUACCACCCUUUAAUGUUUGAUGUUCUAACGUUGACCCGUAAUCCGGGUUGCGGACAGUGUCUGGUGGGUAGUUUGACUGGGGCGGUCUCCUCCUAAAGAGUAACGGAGGAGCACGAAGGUUGGCUAAUCCUGGUCGGACAUCAGGAGGUUAGUGCAAUGGCAUAAGCCAGCUUGACUGCGAGCGUGACGGCGCGAGCAGGUGCGAAAGCAGGUCAUAGUGAUCCGGUGGUUCUGAAUGGAAGGGCCAUCGCUCAACGGAUAAAAGGUACUCCGGGGAUAACAGGCUGAUACCGCCCAAGAGUUCAUAUCGACGGCGGUGUUUGGCACCUCGAUGUCGGCUCAUCACAUCCUGGGGCUGAAGUAGGUCCCAAGGGUAUGGCUGUUCGCCAUUUAAAGUGGUACGCGAGCUGGGUUUAGAACGUCGUGAGACAGUUCGGUCCCUAUCUGCCGUGGGCGCUGGAGAACUGAGGGGGGCUGCUCCUAGUACGAGAGGACCGGAGUGGACGCAUCACUGGUGUUCGGGUUGUCAUGCCAAUGGCACUGCCCGGUAGCUAAAUGCGGAAGAGAUAAGUGCUGAAAGCAUCUAAGCACGAAACUUGCCCCGAGAUGAGUUCUCCCUGACUCCUUGAGAGUCCUGAAGGAACGUUGAAGACGACGACGUUGAUAGGCCGGGUGUGUAAGCGCAGCGAUGCGUUGAGCUAACCGGUACUAAUGAACCGUGAGGCUUAACCUUACAACGCCGAAG
rnacentral:rRNA from 1 species